rnacentral:rRNA from 1 species
GACGAACGCUAGCGGCAGGCUUAAUACAUGCAAGUCGUACGGGAUCCGAGGUAGCAAUACUUUGGUGAGAGUGGCGCACGGGUGCGUAACACGUAUGCAACCUACCUAUAACCGGGACACAACCUCGAGAAAUUGAGGCUAAUAUCCCAUAACACUGCGAGAUGGCAUCAUUUUGCAGUUAAAACUCCGGUGGUUAUAGAUGGGCAUGCGCGACAUUAGCUAGUUGGUGAGGUAACGGCCCACCAAGGCUACGAUGUCUAGGGGUUCUGAGAGGAUUAUCCCCCACACUGGUACUGAGACACGGACCAGACUCCUACGGGAGGCAGCAGUAAGGAAUAUUGGUCAAUGGGCGCAAGCCUGAACCAGCCAUGCCGCGUGAAGGAUGACGGCCCUAUGGGUUGUAAACUCCUUUUGUCGGGGAAGAAGAGUCAUCUUGCGAGGUGAUGUGACGGUACCCGAUGAAUAAGCCACGGCUAACUACGUGCCAGCAGCCGCGGUAAUC